CUACGGGCUGCACCAGUGAGGAAUAUUGCACAAUGGGGGGAACCCUGAUGCAGCAACGCCGCGUGGAGGAUGACGCAUUGCGGUGUGUAAACUCCUUUUAUAUGUCAAGAAAAUGACGGUAGCAUAUGAAUAAGCACCGGCUAACUCCGUGCCAGCAGCCGCGGUAAUACGGAGGGUGCAAGCGUUACUCGGAAUCACUGGGCGUAAAGGACGCGUAGGCGGGUUGGAAAGUCAGGUGUGAAAUCCUACAGCUUAACUGUAGUACUGCACUUGAAACUUCUAAUCUAGAGUAUGGGAGGGGGAGAUGGAAUUAGUGGUGUAGGGGUAAAAUCCGUAGAUAUCACUAGGAAUACCUAAAGCGAAGGCGAUCUCCUGGAACAUUACUGACGCUAAGGCGCGAAAGCGUGGGGAGCAAACAGGAUUAGAUACCCCUGUAGUC
rnacentral:rRNA from 1 species